GUACACGGUGGAUGCCCUGGCAGUCAGAGGCGAUGAAGGACGUGCUAAUCUGCGAAAAGCGUCGGUAAGGUGAUAUGAACCGUUAUAGCCGGCGAUGUCCGAAUGGGGAAACCCAGUGUGAUUCGUCACACUAUCGUUAACUGAAUACAUAGGUUAACGAGGCGAACCGGGGGAACUGAAACAUCUAAGUACCCCGAGGAAAAGAAAUCAACCGAGAUUCCCCCAGUAGCGGCGAGCGAACGGGGAGCAGCCCAG
rnacentral:rRNA from 1 species